UACGGGGGGGGCAAGCGUUGUUCGGAAUUACUGGGCGUAAAGGGCUCGUAGGUGGCCAACUAAGUCAGACGUGAAAUCCCCAGGCUCAACCUGGGAACUGCGUCUGAUACUGGAUGGCUUGAAUUCGGGAGAGGGAUGCAGAAUUCCAGGUGUAGCGGUGAAAUGCGUAGAUAUCUGGAGGAAUACCGGUGGCGAAGGCGGCAUCCUGGACCGGACUAUACGCUGAUGAGCGAAAGCUAGGGGAGCAAACGGG
rnacentral:rRNA from 1 species